rnacentral:sRNA from 1 species
UACAUACAUGGGCCUUGAGAGUAAUGGA